GACAGAGGGUGCAAACGUUGCUCGGAAUUACUGGGCGUAAAGGGCGUGUAGGCGGGAAGGCAAGUCGGGCGUGAAAGCCCCAGGCUCAACCUGGGAACUGCACUCGAAACUGCCUUUCUUGAGUGCCGGAGAGGAAAGCGGAAUUCCUGGUGUAGAGGUGAAAUUCGUAGAUAAUCAGGAGGAACACCAGUGGCGAAGGCGGCCACCUGGACGGUAACUGACGCUGAGACGCGAAAGCGUGGGGAGCAAACAGG
rnacentral:rRNA from 1 species